CUGGUUCUGGUUGCACAUUUCAUGGUUUGGAAGAUAUUGUCCACUUCACAUCAGCCGUCUCCUUGCGUGGAGUUCAUGGGCAAAUUCUGUUGCUUGCCUGCAGCGUGUUGCUUUGUAAAGCACAUCUUCUCAAAGUGCCCUACCUUCUGACAAAACUGGCAGAUGGUCUUCUGGUGCUUGCAGUUGGACUACUGGACAUUCACCACAGCGAUGGCAUCUCUGUGAAGACUGACGUGAUCUUGACUGGAAUCUGCGUGUCUGCAAACGCUGGCAAACAUUGACGUUUUUGGGAGGGGACUCUCGCUCUAGUAUUGCUUGAAUAAGUGGUGAUGGGGAUGGUUGAAUCUGUGUAAGGCCUCUCGCGACUGCCUCUCUGCUGAGCUGUGGAGCAUGCUUUGUCCCAGGACAAAUUGUACUUUUCGGACAAAAGGUUCUCGUGUGUCUUCUCAUCAGACUCUAAUCAACGCUUAGAUGAGCAUCGCUUCUUAAAAUUUGUUUGGAUGGCUAUCUUUGCACUUGCAUUCCCGCACAGCCAGAGUUGAUCUUGUGAUGAAAUCAUCUACGUUCUCAUUGGGGGUCUGUUGCAGUUGCAAGAGCCUGAAGUAUGCCGUAAAGACGUUGUCCUGCGUCCCCUAAACAUUGUCUAAAGCCUCAAACGUGCUAGCCAAUUCAGAUUCGUUCUGCAAGUGCAAAGCGCUGAAGUAUUUCUGCCCAAGUUCUCCCAAGUGCAUGCGAAGCAGCUUGAGUUUUGUUGCUUCCUCCGGUUCUGCUAUCAUUGUUAAAAUUGGUAGAAGUUCACUGUAGUCCUGAAAAGUUUUCUUUCAUUGUAGGCAGGUUUCCGAUGUUGCUUUUGCCAUAGUUGUGGUCCAAAAUGGAUUGGGUGCUUGAAGUAGAGGCUCCAUUCUUGUUUUUGAUCGAGUCACCAAUUGUUACGUAUGCAUGGAGCAAGAAUGACAACGGUGCAGUAGAAUAAACGUUUUUACUGAAUGUUAAUCAAAGUAAAGAAACUAAGCAACUUGCAGUUGUAGAUCAACGAGAAAGCCAACAGAGACAAAAAGCACACGAGACCCCAAAGUCCUGCGCCAAAAGUAACAUUCCUCGCAUAGGAGAGCAUCAUCGCUCUGCAGAGCGAUUGACCGGCGGGCGUGCACAUAUGUACUUGCCACGUUCUCACUAUCAAUCCGCUGAGCGAUUGACCAACAGGUAUGUGCAUUCGCUGCAUUCUCCAUACAGUUCAUAACCUAGACCCACAAAGGCCUGCUGUAACAUUCCUAACACAUUUUGGCUGGAAUCAGUUAGUUUGGCAAAAAAGGGAAUUAAAUUUAGCUCAGUGACUUGAUAAAUUUACUGAGCAAUUGUGAAAAACUUUGGAUCAUUUCCUCUAUUUCACCCACAACCAUAAAACCCUGAAUUUGCUGGUGGUCUUAAGUUAAAAUGAUGGAAAAAUACUGGGAGAGGUGGUUGCACCGCCUGUUGUUGCUUUUUCUCUCCUCUAGGACAUGCAGCAUCAAAAGCCAAUCUUCUACCAGUAAGAAAAAUAUUCAGACCUCCAGAAGAUGAAAUCAAACAUGGCGUUCCUCUCAAACCCCGCCUCCCAACCAUCCAAAGGACUUGGUAGUUUUCCACGGUGCUUCCCUAUCAGUGCUGGUUCAUUUUAUGAUGCAAAAGACUAAACAUUGGUAUCAUAUUCAGGUAAUGUAUGAUUUUAAACAAAGCAAACAAU